rnacentral:rRNA from 1 species
ACGGGUGUUAGGGCACGACACCGGAGAGGGAGCCUGAGAACGGCUACCACAUCCAAGGAUGGCAGCAGGCGCGCAAAUUACCCAAUCCCAACACGGGGAGGUAGUGACAAUAAAUAACAAUACGGGGUUCUUUCGGAUUUCGUAAUUGGAAUGAGUACAAUUUAAAUCUCUUAACGAGGAACAAUUGGAGGGCAAGUCUGGUGCCAGCAGCCGCGGUAAUUCCAGCUCCNAUAGCGUAUAUUAAAGUUGUUGCAGUUAAAAAGCUCGUAGUUGAAUUUCGGGAUCAAUUAAUUGGUCGUGCCUCUGGUACGUACUGAUUUUAUUGGUUUCUCCCUUCUGACGAACCAUGAUGUCAUUAAUUUGGUGUCGUGGAGAAUCAGGACUGUUACUUUGAAAAAAUUAGAGUGUUUAAAGCAAGCUAACGCUUGAAUACAUUAUCAUGGAAUAAUGAAAUAUGACGUUUGAUGCUAGUUUGUUGGUUUCUAGGAUCGACGUAAUGAUUAAUAGGGAUAGUUGUGGGGCGUUAUUAUCAAAUU